AGUGAACGUUGGCGGCGUGCCUAACACAUGCAAGUCGUACGAAACCCAAGGAGCUUGCUUUUUGGGAAAAGUGGCGAACGGGUGAGUAACACGUGAGUAACCUGCCCUCGAGCGGGGAACAACUUCGCGAAAGCGAAGCUAAUACCGCAUAAUACUCCGGAGCAUAAGCUUUCGGAGUCAAAGCUUUCGAGCGCUUGAGGAUGGGCUCGCGGCCUAUUAGCUAGUUGGUAGGGUAACGGCCUACCAAGGUGACGAUGGGUAGCCGGCCUGAGAGGGUGAUCGGCCACACUGGAACUGCGACACGGUCCAGACUCCUACGGGAGGCAGCAGUGGGGAAUUUUGCGCAAUGGGCGAAAGCCUGACGCAGCGACGCCGCGUGGAGGAUGACGGCCUUCGGGUUGUAAACUCCUGUCAGAGGUGAAGAAAUCUUCGGAUUGACGGUAACCUCAGAG
rnacentral:rRNA from 1 species